rnacentral:lncRNA from 1 species
CCCUCUGCCUCCCCUGCCUACCAGAAGCCCCCCAGCCCUCAGUUUCUGGGCUCACCAGGUUUGCCUUCCUGGACAGAAUGGAGGUCUCCUGCUUCCUGCCUCUCUCGUCUCAGACUUAUCCAAGCGUACCGACUCUGGAACCUUUCCCCAUCUGUACUAAGUGGCCAAUGGUAGGGGCAGUCCAUAUUGCUGUCACAAAAGCCAGCCUUCGCCCAAAUAGCUCUCCAUGCAGCCAGCCCACGCCCCCCCCCCACGGGACCCGCUCACCAGGAACAGAGGUGACCUGCCCCCAAAAGAGAGGGUCAGGAGGAGGGGUCGGGGGUGUGCUCACCUUUCACAGGUAAAGCCAAACCAUGUGUCAAAACUCAGAGGCGGCUCUGCCCCUGAUGACGGAGCAGUGGGAUCUGGGCAGGUGUGGAUCUGGCCCAGGCGGGCACAUUCAUCUUUGGGGUGGCAGUGGCAAUGCAGAGGUUCCCCUAUCCGUGCUGGCACAUGGCACUCAAUGUGGGACCCUUCUGGAGACAGGUUUGCACCAGGUGUGGCUGACGGGUGGGAUUUCAGGCCUUGCCACAGGUCUAGAGAGAAGAGAGAUUUUUUUUCUUGGAAAAGACUUUGCAGCGCCUUUCAAAGCACAGCCGGCUCCACCUGCCAAACUGUCUGCCAUGGGCAAAGCUGCUCCCGGCUGACCUAUCCCCAGGGACAGCACCAUGGGAAACAUCUCAUUGCUGCUGCCCCGGGCUCCAGCAGGGAGGACCAGGCGGCUCCAGAAAAGAU